rnacentral:rRNA from 1 species
AUGGCGGAGGCCGCACCGCCUCCUCUCCUCGGCGGCCUCCCUGACGAGAUCGCCAUCUGGGAGAUCCUCGUCCGCCUGCCCCCCAAAGACCUCCUCCGCUGCCGUGCCGUCUGCCGUGCCUGGCGCUGCACCACCUCCACCCGCGACUUCCUCCUCGCCCACCACGCCCGCCAGCCCGCCCUCCCUCUCUCCUACGUCUACAAUUUCGACGACCGCGGCUGCUUCUUCACAGACAUCACCUCCUUCGACCACCAGGGAGGGGCCGCCACCCCCCAGACCGUCGCGCGACUUCGCCGCCAUACCUUAACUCCGACGGUCUCCUGCGACGGCUUAAUCGUCUUCCAGAUAGACUACAAAGCUGAUCGACAACUAUUCAUCUGCAACCCGGCAACUCGUCAGCUCCAGCCAGCCGCCGGGCCACUACACAUCGAGGGCCCCAAUUUGAACGAACUGCUAUUCUCGCGCGGACCUUUCAUGUUCCGUGGUAGCCUGCACUGGUGCAUAAGCAACAUGAUAAUUGCAUUCGACACCGUCGCCGAGUCGUUCCGGCAGAUGCGCACUCCAGUUGUUCCUAAUUUGUCUGAUCUGUUUGAGAUGGAUGGAAUGCUCGGCAUGUCCAGUUUUGAUGAUUACAAUGAUGACGAGCCAAUUGUUGAUAUCUGGAUAAUGCAGGACUACGAGUGCAAGGUCUGGGCUUUGAAAUACCGGGUUGAAAUACCGUAUGCGGAGCUCACCUUGCAGUUUGGAUUGUUUUACCCGCGUGAUUGUGUGGUGUUUACUUCUUGGGUUGGCGAUGUGGUAGUGCUGGUCCCGUUUGGCCGCUGGCUACUUCAGCUUGACGUGGGUGGCAGGUUGGUUGCCAGUUUCGAGGACAGAGGUGGACUCAUUGGUCAGCCACAUCAGCUCAAGCAAACUCUUGUUCAGCAUACCUUCUUUCCGACACUAGAGGGUUAUGUUGUCAAUGAUUGGCCUUUCAUCUGA